CCCUUAGAUGUUCUGGGCCGCACGCGUGCUACACUGAGUGGAUCAGCGGGUCAGGUUACGCGAGAGCGUUUCCUAAUCUUCAAAUCCGCUCGUGAUGGGGAUUGACGGUUGCAAUUUUCCGUCAUGAACGAGGAAUACCUUGUAAGCGCGGGUCAUCAUCCCGCGCUGAAUACGUCCCUGUCCUUUGUACACACCGCCCGUCGCUCCUACCGAUUGAGUGGUCCGGUGAGGCUUUGGGAUCUAAGCGAAAAGAGCGUUUCGCUCCUUUUGCUGGGAGAACUCAGUCGAACCUUAUCAUUUAGAGGAAGGAGAAGUCGUAACA
rnacentral:rRNA from 1 species